rnacentral:rRNA from 1 species
CCUACGGGGGGCAGCAGUAGGGAAUAUUGCUCAAUGGGGGAAACCCUGAAGCAGCCACGCCGCGUGGAGGAUGAAGGUUUUCGGAUUGUAAACUCCUUUUGUUAGAGAAGAUAAUGACGGUAUCUAACGAAUAAGCUCCGUCAAACUCCGUUCCAGCAGCCGCGGUAAUACGGAGGGUGCAAGCGUUACUCGGAAUCACUGGGCGUAAGGAGCGCGUAGGCGGGAUAGCAAGUGAGAUGUGAAAUCCUAGGGCUAAACCAUAGAACUGCCUUUGAAACUGUUAUUCUAGAGUAUGGGAGAGGUAGGUGGAAUUCUUGGUGUAGGGGUAAAUCCGUAGAGAUCAAGAGGAAUACUCAUUGCGAAGGCGACCUGCUAGAACAUAACUGACGCUGAUGCGCGAAAGCGUGGGGAGCAAACAGGAUUAGAUACCCUAGUAGUC